AUUGAACGCUGGCGGCAGGCCUAACACAUGCAAGUCGAGCGAGCGGCGGACGGGUGAGUAAUGUCUGGGAAACUGCCUUAUGGAGGGGGAUAACUACGGGAAACUGUAGCUAAUACCGCGUACCAUAGGAUGUGCCCAAGUGGGAUUAGGUUGUAGGUGAGGUAACGGCUCACCUAGGCGACGAUCCCUAGCUGGUCUGAGAGGAUGACCAGCCACACUGGAACUGAGACAAGGUCCAGACUCCUACGGGAGGCAGCAGUGGGGAAUAUUGGACAAUGGGCGAAAGACUGAUCCAGCCAUGCCGCGUGUGUGAAGAAGGUCUUCGGAUGGUAAAGCACUUUAAGUUGGGAGGCGUUACCAACAGAAUAAGCACCGGCUAACUUCGUGCCAGCAGCCGCGGUAAUUC
rnacentral:rRNA from 1 species